UUCAAGAGAUAUAAGUUUCUCUUUGUUCUUCUCUAUAUACCCGAAACUACACCCAAAAAUACAAAGCUUCCACCUUUUAUUUUCGGCAGUAGCAAAAAUGGUGUUCUAGGGUUUUCUAGGUUUUAUUUUCUUACUCUCCUUUUGUUCUACCCGAAAAUACAAACCAAGAAAACCUAAGCUUCUAACCGAAAUACUAACCCAGAAAAACUCUUUAACUUUCGGCCAAAAAACACAUCAAACCCGAAAAUAGCAAGAACACUCAACAUACACACAAAUACAAAUAUGAACAAUAUAGAGAUUAGGGUUAGAAAUACAAACAGAAAUGAUAAAGAUGGAGACACCAAAUUUGAUCUCGGAGUUCGCCCAAAACAACCGGCUACUUCUCCGUCAAGCCCUCAGCUUGAUUCCACUAAUCAUCAAACAAAGGAGGAGCUCACAUGGAGAUGACAACUCUUAGCCAAAAGGCUCUCAUUUUCUCUGUUGUUGAAUCUAUUGUUCUCUCUGGCUGUGACUAUUUACUUUUUGUUGUAUCUCUUAUUUUUGCUCUGUAUAUUAUUGCUUGUUGUAUCUGAGAAAAGCACCUCCUUUUAUAUACUGUUCUGUGAUCUAAUCUAGGGCAGAGCCCUAAAGAUAUUUGUAACUGUUUUGUAACUGUCUUUGUAACUGUCUUUGUAACUGUCUUUGAUGAAAGGGUAUAUUUGUCAAACCCUAUGAUUAGUGUUAUACAACUUAAGGGUAAAUAAGUGAAUCUGAAACAACA